rnacentral:lncRNA from 1 species
UGAGAGAAUUGUGGGCCACCGGUUGGCUGCAUGAUCGUAUACGUGUGGUUGUUGCGAGUUUCUUUGUGAAGGUUCUACAACUUCCAUGGAGAUGGGGAAUGAAGUAUUUUUGGGAUACCCUAUUGGAUGCAGAUUUAGAGAGUGAUGCUCUUGGUUGGCAAUACAUAACCGGCACUCUCCCAGAUGGCCGGGAGUUUGAUCGCAUAGAUAAUCCACAGGUGCGGACGAGACAUUGUAAUUUUUAUAAGCUGCCUUUCUGUAUUGCAUAACUAAUUUUUGCAACUAUGGUAUUACAGUUUAAUUUAUGCAUAUCUCCUACUCAUCUUUUCUUAAUUUGGACUUGUUUGAAAAAUGUCUUAGUUACUCAUUGAUUGUUCACAGUUUGAGGGUUACAAAUUUGACCCAAAUGGAGAAUAUGUACGCCGGUGGCUUCCUGAACUUGCUAGGCUACCAACUGAAUGGAUACACCACCCAUGGAAUGCACCUGAAUCUGUACUUCAAGCUGCUGGUAUUGAGCUGGGAUCAAAUUAUCCUCUCCCUAUUGUAGGGAUAGAUGCAGCAAAGGUCAGGUUGGAAGAAGCACUUUCAGAAAUGUGGCAGCAAGAAGCUG